AGUCAUUUAUAAGGAGCCAUUAUCACUCAUUCUAGAUGAUUAUGACUGCAGUGAUUAAUGCAGUAAUUUGUGUUGCAGACCUUGUUUCAUUUGUUAUAGCCCUCUUAAUGAGAAAGAAAAUUAAAAUUAAAAAGAGCUUUCUUUAAACUUUUAGGCAGCAGCACUUGUUUAUUCUGAUUUUGUUCGUAUCACUAAACUGAGAGACUAAGUUCUUUGUUAUUAGCCUUUAACUAUGUAAAGUGUUUUGUUUUCUGUCAUUUUAUUUUGGUAUGCUCAAAUUUAAAAGAAUUUACAACAGGAAAUUUUACAACUGCACUGGUUGCACAGGUGGCAUCCUAUGACAGUCCCAUGCUGAAAUUCACAUUGUUUCACAAAUGUUUGUAGAACAGUCUGCAUGCCUGAGUGCUUGAUUUUAUACACCUGUGGCCAGGUCAAGUGAUCAGGACACCUGAACCGGGUCAAUUGGAUGGGUGAGCCAAUACUUCUGGUAAUAUAGUGUAUAACCCUUACGAAAUAUUUAGAGGACAAUUAAAAUUAUUCAACUUCCUGAGAACCAAGAAAAGGAGGGUUUAUAAAAAAAUUAGUUGGCAAUUUCCAGUUUUUUUUUUUUUAAGAGAAUAUAUAUAGCAUCUUAAAUCUUGUCCUUUCAUCAGAACAAAACAUGAGAAUUAGAGUUAGCAUUAGCUUCAUCACGAAAAAACCUUCCUCACAAUCAAACAAGCCCAUAUUCAGUCUUCAAAAAUAUGUCAGUUACGUAUCAAAAAGGCACGUCUCACACAAAUAGAAAAGUAGUAGGCUUGACUGGCAACAUGAAAAACCUGACCACAAACAAAAAUAUUAUGGUGGGAACAUCAAACAACAUUGGUCCAGCAGAGAGAAGAAAGGCUGGAGAACAAAUACUUCAGAGAGCAGGUGCACUGUAUGAGCUUAUUAGGCAACAGCAGGUGUGAAAGAUGAACUGUGACAGGGCAGACUGGAAGUAUGGCAAGCUGUGAAUGCACAAACUGAAGGAAACUGACCGGGUUUCUAACCAAAACCAUGAAGCUAUUGGUAUCUGGCUAUGGGGACUCGUAGAACACCAUAGCCAGGAGCUUCUGUGUUGGUGUCUCAACAGCUGCCAAAAUAAUGCCUGAAGUGGUGACAACCAUCUGGGUCGGGCUGGUGAAGGAAUUCAUGGCUGUUCCGAACGCUGAAGAUUGGAGGUCCAUCGCUGAGGGGGUUCCAUCAACUUCCCGAACAACUGCAUGCCCCCCCCUCACUCAGGAUCCCAGUUCAACAAAUGAACUUGUAUUGUGUUUAUCAUAAAUCUGUUGAACUGCUAUUUGAAGUUAAGCUGGUGUGUGUUGUUCAAAAAAGUUCCAAAAAAUAAGACACUUUGACGUCAAUAGUGAGCAUGAACUGUGUUGCAUAAAUUAAUGAUGAAUUCCACUGUCAAGUUAAAGUGAGAAGAUACUUUUUUUCUUUACUGAAAACUGAUCUUAAGUAGCCACUAAUAAUUUUAAAGAUGAUUGGGGAAAUGGAAGAAAACUAGAAAUAAAAGAAUAAUUUACUAUUUCAACUUUUCUGACCGUUUACUUAUUUAUUCAUGACUACUUUUGCAUCACCAUGGACUGAUUUUGCAGAGAGUUCAUGCAGCUCCAAAUACAGUAUUGCACAGUCGUACUCGUUUUCCUUUUACGAAUGACUCUACUUUUUGAAGUUUUGGUUAAUCUCUUGUAGUUGACUCAAGCCAACAACAAGGGGACGUAAAGUCCAAAAAAGGCUAGGUUAAAGCAAAAACUGACUCAAUACAUUUGAAAUUAGGUACUUUUUAUGUAUGUUGGUGUAACAUCCCUUUUGGGUUUAUAGGGAUCAAGGAGCUUAACAAAAAGGGAUUUUGCUCUAACUUUAAAUUAACAACAAAAACACCAAGAGCUUGUCUUAUUAAAAAAAAAAAAAAA